rnacentral:misc_RNA from 1 species
GAUGAAGAACGUAGCGAAAUGCGAUAAGUAGUGUGAAUUGCAGAAUUCAGUGAGUCAUCGAAUCUUUGAACGCACAUUGCGCCCGCCGGCACUCCGGCGGGCAUGCCUGUCCGAGCGUCAUUUCAACCCUCAGGACCCCCUUUCGGGGGGGACCUGGUGCUGGGGAUCAGCGGCCUCCGGGCCCCUGUCCCCCAAAUUGAGUGGCGGUCGCGCCGCAGCCUCCCCUGCGUAGUAGCACACCUCGCACCGGAGAGCGGCUCGGCCACGCCGUGAAACCCCCAAUUUUUUAAGGUUGACCUCGGAUCAGGUAGGAAUACCCGCUGAACUUAAGCAUAUCAAUAAGCGGAGGA